rnacentral:rRNA from 1 species
GACGAACGCUGGCGGCGUGCUUAACACAUGCAAGUCGAACGGUGAAGCGCCUUCCUUUUUGGUGGGUGUGGAUGAGUGGCGAACGGGUGAGUAACACGUGAGUAACCUGCCCCCUUCUUCUGGAUAACCGCAUGAAAGUGUGGCUAAUACGGGAUAUUCUGUGCCUGCUGCAUGGUGGGUGUGGGAAAGAUUGCGCCCUUUUUGGGUGUUUUUGGUGGGGGAUGGGCUCGCGGCCUAUCAGCUUGUUGGUGGGGUGAUGGCCUACCAAGGCGGUGACGGGUAGCCGGCCUGAGAGGGUGGACGGUCACACUGGGACUGAGACACGGCCCAGACUCCUACGGGAGGCAGCAGUGGGGAAUAUUGCACAAUGGGCGCAAGCCUGAUGCAGCGACGCCGCGUGAGGAUGGAGGCCUUCGGGUUGUGAACCUCUUUCGCCAGUGAAGCAGGCCUGCCCCUGGUGGGUGGGUUGACGGUAGCUGGAUAAGAAGCGCCGGCUAACUACGUGCCAGCAGCCGCGGUAAUACGUAGGGCGCGAGCGUUGUCCGGAAUUAUUGGGCGUAAAGAGCUCGUAGGCGGCUGGUCGCGUCUGUCGUGAAAUCCUCUGGCUUAACUGGGGGCUUGCGGUGGGUACGGGCCGGCUUGAGUGCGGUAGGGGAGACUGGAACUCCUGGUGUAGCGGUGGAAUGCGCAGAUAUCAGGAAGAACACCGGUGGCGAAGGCGGGUCUCUGGGCCGUUACUGACGCUGAGGAGCGAAAGCGUGGGGAGCGAACAGGAUUAGAUACCCUGGUAGUCCACGCCGUAAACGUUGGGCACUAGGUGUGGGGGGCCUUUUCCGGGUUUUCCGCGCCGUAGCUAACGCAUUAAGUGCCCCGCCUGGGGAGUACGGCCGCAAGGCUAAAACUCAAAGGAAUUGACGGGGGCCCGCACAAGCGGCGGAGCAUGCGGAUUAAUUCGAUGCAACGCGAAGAACCUUACCAAGGCUUGACAUGUGCCGGUCGGCUCCGGAGACGGGGUUUCCUCCUUGUGGGGCCGGUUCACAGGUGGUGCAUGGUUGUCGUCAGCUCGUGUCGUGAGAUGUUGGGUUAAGUCCCGCAACGAGCGCAACCCUUGUCUCGUGUUGCCAGCACGUUGUGGUGGGGACUCGCGGGAGACUGCCGGGGUCAACUCGGAGGAAGGUGGGGAUGACGUCAAAUCAUCAUGCCCCUUAUGUCUUGGGCUUCACGCAUGCUACAAUGGCCGGUACAGAGGGCUGCGAUACCGUGAGGUGGAGCGAAUCCCUUAAAGCCGGUCUCAGUUCGGAUCGGUGUCUGCAACUCGACACCGUGAAGUUGGAGUCGCUAGUAAUCGCAGAUCAGCAACGCUGCGGUGAAUACGUUCUCGGGCCUUGUACACACCGCCCGUCACGUCAUGAAAGUCGGCAACACCCGAAGCCCGUGGCCCUAUGGGGAGCGGUCGAAGGUGGGGCUGGUGAUUGGGACG